rnacentral:lncRNA from 1 species
UCGGUCUUCUCCCUCCGCAGCUGCGCCACCAGGUCCAGUGCCCCCUCCAGCUUCAUGUCCAGCACGCGGAUCUGCUCGGUCAGUGCAGCCACCUGCUGCAUCAGCUGCAGCUUCUGACUCGACACGGCCGCGAGCUGCUGCUGCAACGUUUGGAUGAGCUUCGCAGAGCCGUCGUCAGCCUGGUCGUAUGUGCACAUGUAUGUACAUAUGUAUGUACGUAUGUGUGUAAGUGGGCGUUGUGAUUGUGUUGGGGAAGGAGAUUAACAAGUGCCAGUGCGAGUGCUUGUGGGGGCCCGGGGUGUUGAGGAGGGUUAUCCUGGGGCCACCUUGCUUCAAACCCCUCCAGCUGCUGUCGCCAUUACCGCCACGACAUGCAACACACGAAGACAGCCACAAACCUUCUCCCCCCCUAUCCGCACCCGCACCCGCACCCCCUUCUCCCCCCACACCCACACCCGCACCCCCUUCUCCCCCCACACCCGCACCCGCACCCCCACCUGCAACUCCGCAUGUUUAACGGACGGCAGUUUGAAUGCGCACUCCGCAAGGUCCAGAGCCUCCGCCGCCUCCCGGAGCUGACCC